UACGUAGGGUGCAAGCGUUAAUCGGAAUUACUGGGCGUAAAGCGUGCGCAGGCGGUUUUGUAAGUCAGAAUGUGAAAUCCCCGGGCUUAACCUGGGAACUGCGUUUGAAACUACAAGGCUAGAGUGUGGCAGAGGGGGGUGGAAUUCCACGUGUAGCAGUGAAAUGCGUAGAGAUGUGGAGGAACACCGAUGGCGAAGGCAGCCCCCUGGGUUAACACUGACGCUCAGGCACGAAAGCGUGGGAGCAAACAGG
rnacentral:rRNA from 1 species